rnacentral:rRNA from 1 species
AGUCUAAAAUGACUCUCGGCAACGGAUAUCUCGGCUCUCGCAUCGAUGAAGAAAGUAGCGAAAUGCGAUACUUGGUGUGAAAUGCAGAAUCCCGUGAACCA